rnacentral:rRNA from 1 species
UACAGUGGGUGCAAACGUUGCUCGGAAUCAUUGGGCGUAAAGCGCACGUAGGCGGUUCGUUAUGUCGGAUGUGAAAGCCCUUGGCUUAACCGAGGAAGUGCAUCCGAAACUGGCGAGCUAGAGUACGAAAGAGGAUCGCGGAAUUCCCGGUGUAGAGGUGAAAUUCGUAGAUAUCGGGAGGAACACCGGUGGCGAAGGCGGCGAUCUGGGUCGAUACUGACGCUGAGGUGCGAAAGCGUGGGGAGCAAACAGG